UGUAUUGUAAUCUCUAUUACAUGUGAUGUUCUGAACUCUUAAAAAUACUCGCAUCUUCUUUGAUUUUUUUUCAGACCUGAAAAAUGGCCUAGCAGAACCAGCCAGACCUCAGACCACGGUGCCGAGGAGCUCUGAGUCCACCAGGACCAAGAGAAAUUCAAGUUUGCAAGGCAGAGUGUGGAAAACAGUAAAGAUCUUCAAAAUGGCGGAUGGAGGACGGAUCUGAGGACGAAGUCAUGAAGCGGGAAUGUAUAAUUAAUCACUGCGUUGAUUCCCGACUGUAUAAUGGUUGGUUGAGAAUAAUUUUAACUUAUUUACUUGUGUAUUUUUGAGAAAGCAAUAUAUUUGCCACAAUAUUUUUUUAAUUUUACAUUCAUUUCCACAGACUCCACAGAAUGAGAGUCACAUUUGUUUCAAUCAGACUCUUCUGGAACGUUCUGAUGUCCGUGAUGAGGACAGAGAUGCAACUGUCUGCAUCCAGGACCUACWGCCAGUCAUCCAGAUGUAGCUAAAGAAAGAAGCAGCUGCUGGAGGCGAGRGAGAGCGUCCUGGCAGCAGAGGAGAUUUCCUUUUGGGAAGGUGUCACCAUUGACCUCAUGUCUGAUGAAGAGGAUGGCGUCUUCGAGGGUGAAUCAGGCUGGAUUGUGAAACCACCAAGUUUCCGCAGCCAGGAGCUCGACAACCUCUGCUCCAAACUACAAGAGACUUGAAGYUAACCCUAAAUACAGCAUGUUGCGUCAUAAGCAUUUGUAUGUUGGAUCAUGCUCAGAAAGAACGCCACCACCACACGGCCCAGAAGUAGACGAGCAUUUUGUGCUGUAAUCUAUUUU